ensembl:snRNA U6 U6 spliceosomal RNA
UUGCUUGGGCAGCACGUAUACUAAAAUUGGAAUGAUACAGAGAAGAUAAGCAGAGCCCCCACACAAGGACAACACACAAAUUCAUCAGGUGUUUUCAUAUUAA